rnacentral:lncRNA from 10 species
CAGGUACUAUAGUAGGGACUGGAAAUUCAACGUGAAAAAAAGUUAAAUCUCUGCUGCCUUAAAAUAAUCAGAAUGUAAGGAGAAAAUGUUUUCAGCUGGAACUUAAAUAGACCGGCCACAAAUAACCCGUAAUUCUCUAUAAAUGGACUGUCAUGCUGAGAACAGCUUUAUGCCACGCUGAUCCUAGCUCCACAAGAGCCGGCUAAGCUACACUUACCCAGUAGCAGGUCACACUCCAGAGCCCACUGGAUUCUUGCUGACACAAUAAGUACGCUUCCAGCUGGGGCCAAGAACAAUCUGGACUCAGGCAGAGUGUGAAUUACAGUGAAGAGCUACCACCCUCCUAACCACAGCCAAUCAACAGAAAAUAAACACAGAUUUUAUGAGGACGUGGUAAAGCUAC